rnacentral:rRNA from 1 species
UGGGGAAUAUUGGACAAUGGGGGCAACCCUGAUCCAGCAAUGCCGCGUGAAUGAUGAAGGCCUUAGGGUUGUAAAGUUCUUUUAUUGAUGAAGAUAAUGACGUUAAUCAAUGAAUAAGCACCGGCUAACUUCGUGCCAGCAGCCGCGGUAAUACGAAGGGUGCUAGCGUUGUUCGGAAUGACUGGGCGUAAAGGGUGCGUAGGCGGCCGAAUGCGUCUGAUGUGAAAUCCCUGGGCUUAACCUAGGAACUGCAUUGGAUACUGCGGAUCUCGAGUCCGAUAGAGGUGAGUGGAAUUCCUAGUGUAGAGGUGAAAUUCGUAGAUAUUAGGAAGAACACCGGUGGCGAAGGCGGCUCACUGGAUCGGUACUGACGCUGAGGUGCGAAAGCGUGGGGAGCAAACAGGAUUAGAUACCCUAGUAGUCCCUGAGCGGGCUGGCAAGGCGCAU